rnacentral:sRNA from 1 species
UUUAAACCUCGACAUUGAACAGCAGCCU